UCCAGCACGAUCCCACACAGACCCUUCCUUCAUGGCUUUUCUGUAUACUACAUGUUGUCAGGCGAAUUGAUGAAUAUCAGCUACGUAGAAUGAUGUUCUUCUCUGAGACCGCCUUGCUGCCUUUGCUGACAAUGCCAGCUGCCCUUGAAAUCCACAGAGUCAGCACAAAUAAGGGAAUUACAGGAUUUAAUGCAAAAAAAUCUGUAGCAAAGUGUAGUCAGAGCUGCUCACAUGGAUAUGAUAUGAGUGCUUGGAUCCCAUUUUGUGGACUUUUAAUUGUGAAGGGUUGAGUUCUUCCCAAAUUCUGGAGACUCGGAAUUCAAGGAUGGUAAAGGAAAAGACAACAGGGAGGGAGAGAUCAGAACAGAAGGUAUUAUAUUUCCAGAGGAUGUUUACAGAAAGAGCAGGAACCUGGGAUGCGGUAGCCUCCAACCUGUAAUGAGGGAUAGUUUCAUGGGCAGAUUUUCAAGCAUCCAGACAGAAGCAAAAUGAAACACACGUAUGCUAUGAGCAUACGGCUUAUUGCCACAAACAGAACCUAUGAGAAACCGGAGGAGGGCUGCUGGAGCAAAGUACCACGAACUGGGUGGCUUGAAACAAUAGAAGCUGAUGGUCUCAUAGUUCUGGAGGCUACAUGCUUGCAGUCAAGGUGCUGCAAGGACCGUACUCCCUCUGACACCUAUUCUGGUCCUUGCCCAUGUGUGUUCCUAGAGAACCAAACGAAUUAUGGACUCACCAUCUAAGAUGAUAAGGAACUUGCUGGAAGCCACAGAACUAAAUAGCGGCAGAGGUGGAAGUGGAACUCAGGUGUCUAUGACUCCACACCCAUUCCUGUGAGGCCAUAAUACCUGGUGAAUCACCAUACCUCCUUCCUCUUGUUUCAUAGGUGAGUGAACCAAAGUCCAGUGGACUAAGCCGCUGGCCUAAGGCACGUAGCCUUUCUUGGCAGAGCUGAGUGGACAGCACAGGCCCCUGUCUGGAAGGCCACAGCUGGUGUCCUUCACGGUACUGACUCAUCUUUCAGACGAUGAUGCAAUUUAAUGAGAAAACAUUAUUCAAGGUGUACAAACUGGAUCGGGGCCAUUAUUCAA